UCUGUAGACCAGGAAGGCCUCGAACUCACAGAGAUCCACUUGGAUCUGCCUCCCGUGCAUGCUGGGAUAAAAGGCCUGUGCUCCCUCCUGCCCCCAAGUUCCAGUCGUUUCUUGUUCCCAUUGCUUGGUUGACAGGAGUGUUGGCUGAAGCUUAAGGGACACAGAGUUGCACGUCUCUUCCUAGAAUACAAAACCCUCCUCCAUUUCCUCUGCUACCAGCCAUGGAAUCAGAGACAGCCUGACUACAUAAAACCUCUCCCUGCCUAUGGGACCUCUAAGAAGAGACUCUCCAUUCUGCCCUUUGGACCUGGAUACUCCUCAGAGUCCCUACCAUACUGUUUGCCUGACUAUGGGUCUGAGGCCCAAAUUCUCCUCAAACCCCCUGAUAUGUGUCUGUAAGCCUAUAUGCCCAUGCCAUCAGUAACUCUUCUAAUAAAUCUCUUACCCAAGUGGA